AGAGUUUGAUCAUGGCUCAGGACGAACGCUGGCGGCGUGCUUAAUACAUGCAAGUCGAACGGGGUCCAUUCGGUGGUAACACCGAUGAAGACCUAGUGGCGAACGGGUGCGUAACACGUGAGCAACCUGCCCCGAAGACCGGGAUAACACCGGGAAACCAGUGCUAAUACCGGAUACCCCCACCAUCUCGCAUGGGAAGGUGAGGAAAGGAUUCUGCUUCGGGAGGGGCUCGCGGCCUAUCAGCUUGUUGGUGAGGUAACGGCCCACCAAGGCGACGACGGGUAGCUGGUCUGAGAGGACGAUCAGCCACACUGGGACUGAGACACGGCCCAGACUCCUACGGGAGGCAGCAGUAGGGAAUCUUGCGCAAUGGGCGAAAGCCUGACGCAGCAACGCCGCGUGGGGGAUGAAGGCCUUCGGGUUGUAAACUCCUUUCAGUGGGAACGAAAUUGACGGUACCCACAGAAGAAGCCCCGGCCAACUACGUGCCAGCAGCCGCGGUGAUACGUAGGGGGCGAGCGUUGUCCGGAUUUAUUGGGCGUAAAGAGCUCGUAGGCGGUUUGGCAAGUCGGGUGUGAAACCUCCAGGCUUAACCUGGAGACGCCACUCGAGACUGCCAUGACUAGAGUCUGGUAGGGGACCAUGGAAUUCCUGGUGUAGCGGUGAAAUGCGCAGAUAUCAGGAGGAACACCAGUAGCGAAGGCGGUGGUCUGGGCCAGUACUGACGCUGAGGAGCGAAAGCGUGGGGAGCGAACAGGAUUAGAUACCCCCGUAGUCC
rnacentral:rRNA from 1 species